rnacentral:rRNA from 1 species
AUUGAACGCUGGCGGCAGGCCUAACACAUGCAAGUCGAACGAGUGGCGGACGGGUGAGCAAUUUCUGGGAAACUGCCUUAUGGAGGGGGAUAACUACUGGAAACGGUAGCUAAUACCGCAUAACACCGGAUGUGCUCAGGUGGGAUUAGCUAGUAGGUGGGGUAAAGGCUCACCUAGGCGACGAUCCCUAGCUGGUCUGCGAGGAUGACCAGCCACACUGGAGCUGGGACACGGUCCAGACUCCUACGGGAGGCAGGAGUGGGGAAUAUUGCACAAUGGGCGCAAACCUGAUGCAGCCAUGCCGCGUGUAUGAAGAAGGCCUUCGGGUUGUAAAGUACUUUCAGCGGGGAGGCGUUACCCGCAGAAGAAGCACCGGCCAACUCCGUGCCAGCAGCCGCGGUAAUAC